rnacentral:rRNA from 1 species
UACGAAGGGUGCAAGCGUUACUCGGAAUUACUGGGCGUAAAGCGUGCGUAGGUGGUUCGUUAAGUCUGAUGUGAAAGCCCUGGGCUCAACCUGGGAAUGGCAUUGGAAACUGGCGACCUAGAGUGCGGUAGAGGGUAGUGGAAUUCCCGGUGUAGCAGUGAAAUGCGUAGAGAUCGGGAGGAACAGCCGUGGCGCAGGCGACUACCUGGACCAGCACUGACACUGAGGCACGAAAGCGUGGGGAGCAAACAGG